UACCAGCUCACAACCACCUGUACUC
rnacentral:piRNA from 1 species